CUUUCCUUCUUUCCUUCUUUCCACUCCCCUUUCUCUCUCCUUUUUCUCCCACCUUUCUAAUCCUCCCGAGCCCCUCCUUCAGUCCUUUCUUCUAUCCCCCCCAUCCUAACUGUCCACCCCACAGCAGUCUGUGCAAACACCAAUACUGAAGCACAAGGUUUCCACGCCUGCAGAAGGAGAACGACUGAACCAUUUCUCAGAGCACAAAGCAGCACCAGAACCCCCAGCACACCAGAGGAGAAGGAUCCCAACAAGGUUUGAGCUGCGAGGUGGAGGCCGAUGUGCGUACCUGAACGGGGACAGGAUCAGCUCAUCCCUGUGCCACCUACACAAGCACUGGGUCUGCAGCAGAGCUGAC
rnacentral:lncRNA from 7 species